AAAUAGAACUUUGCAGAGAGAGUUAACAGGGCGUGAAACCGUUAAUUGGCAAACGAAUCGGAGCCACGAAGUCGUUUCGUUGAUAAGUUGGGCCGAGUUCAGUUUAGCUGCUAACAGCUGAAUGUAUUCUCGUUUGUCCAGCCAAAAAUCAUUGUAAGCGUACACUGCAACCAGUUAGACAAUUGGCGAUGGGCCAAGUUGCUCAAGUUAGUAGUAGCGUGGGUUAGCUUCGGUUAAUUUUGUGUUGCUGGGCUUGAGUGCGUGAACUAUCACCAAAUACUGACUGGCAAAAUGAAAAUCGCUCAUUGAGCGUAAUAUAAAAUGCAGCAGUUAGCAUAGGCGUCUACACACUUGACCGUAGGGUUUAAGCUCAGCAUUUUUGAAUUUGGACUUGCUAGCUACCAAUGGGGCAACUCUUGGUGCUAGUAUAGCUUUCAUCUAAUCGGGUGUUGACUUGAUUUUACGUCGUUCGGGUGUGCUACGUUAGGGCGUUUAUGUUAGAUUGUUCGCAAUUUAAUUGGCAGUGAGUAGGUCGGCUUUCCGAACGACCCGUCUUGAAACACGGACCAAGGAGUCUAAUUAGGCAUCGAGUCGAUCGGUCUUGAAUAGGCCAGAGUGGGUAGUUUUAUCCGAUUGAAGGCGUAGAGACAUGUGAUCAUUGGGGCAACAACAGCCUCGAUGCGCAACAUGUGCCUGCUCGUAUAGCAAUGUAGCAAUAAUUGCUGGCGGAGCAAAGAGAUGCUUGAUUGGUACCCGAAAGAUGGUGAGCCUGGGCAAAUUGAAGCCAGAGGAAACUCUGGUGGAGGAUUGUAGCGAUUCUGACGUGCAAAUCGAUCGUCAGACCUGGGUAUAGGGGCGAAAGACUAAUCGAACCAUC
rnacentral:rRNA from 1 species